GAUGAACGCUGGCGGCGUGCCUAAUACAUUCAAGUCGAGCGAACAGACGAGGAGCUUGCUCCUCUUACGUUAGCGGCUGACGGGUGAGUAACACGUGGAUAACCUACCUAUAAGACUGGGAUAACUUCGGGAAACCGGAGCUAAUACCGUAUAAUAUAUUGAACCGCAUUGUUCAAUAGUGAAAGACGGUUUUGCUGUCCCUUAUAGAUUUAUCCGCGUCGCAUUAGCUAGUUGGUAAGGUAACGGCUUACCAAGGCAACGAUGCGUAGCCGACCUGAGAGGGUGAACGGCCACAAAGGAACUGAGACACGGUCCAGCCUCCUACGGGAGGCAGCAGUAGGGAAUCUUCAGAAAUGGGCGAAAGACUGACGGAGCAAUGCAGCGUGAGUGAUGAAGGUUUACGGAUAGUAAAACACUGUUACUAGAGAAGAACAAAUGUGUAAGUAAAUAUGCACGUCUUGACGGUACCUAAUCAGAAAGCCAAGGCUAACUACGUG
rnacentral:rRNA from 1 species